rnacentral:rRNA from 1 species
UGGGGAAUCUUGGACAAUGGGGGCAACCCUGAUCCAGCCAUGCCGCGUGAGUGAUGAAGGCCCUAGGGUCGUAAAGCUCCUUCGCCUGUGAAGAUAAUGACGGUAGCAGGUAAAGAAACCCCGGCUAACUACGUG